rnacentral:rRNA from 1 species
AUUGAACGCUGGCGGCAUGCCUUACACAUGCAAGUCGAACGGCAGCACGGGAGCUUGCUCCUGGUGGCGAGUGGCGAACGGGUGAGUAAUACAUCGGAACGUACCCUGAAGUGGGGGAUAACGUAGCGAAAGUUACGCUAAUACCGCAUAUUCUGUGAGCAGGAAAGAGGGGGAUCGCAAGACCUCUUGCUUUUGGAGCGGCCGAUGUCGGAUUAGCUAGUUGGUGAGGUAAAGGCUCACCAAGGCGACGAUCCGUAGCGGGUCUGAGAGGAUGAUCCGCCACACUGGGACUGAGACACGGCCCAGACUCCUACGGAGGCAGCAGUGGGGAAUUUUGGACAAUGGCGCAAGCCUGAUCCAGCCAUGCGCGUGAGUGAAGAAGGCC